rnacentral:rRNA from 1 species
AUUGCACGCUGGCGGCAGGCUUCACACAUGCAAGUCGAGCGAGCGGCGGACGGGUGCGUAAUGUCUGGGAAACUGCCUGAUGGAGGGGGAUAACUACUGGAAACGGUAGCUAAUACCGCAUAACAUCAGCUGUGCCCAGAUGGGAUUAGCUCGUAGGUGGGGUAAUGGCUCACCUAGGCGACGAUCCCUAGCUGGUCUGAGAGGAUGACCAGCCACACGUGAACUGAGACACGGUCCCGACUCCUCCGGUAGGCAGCAUGGGGGAAUAUUGCACAGUGGGCUCAAGCCUUAUUCAGCCAUGCCGCGUGUGUGAAGAAGGCUUUCGGGUUGUAAAGCACUUGCAGCGAGGAGGCGUUACUCGCAUAAGAAGCACCGGCUAACUCCGUGCCAGCAGCCGCGGUAAUUC